UUAAUUUAUCUGUUUACAAUUAAUUACGAUAUUUUAAUUUUUUUUUUUUUCGAUAACUUUAUACUCUGAUAGUACGGCUUAUAGUUUAUUUUUAACUAGCACAAACUGACAGCAUUUCUUAAUGAGAAAUUUAUGUUUGUUUAUCAGAUUUUUCAGUCGAAAUUUUUCGAUUCAAAAAAAGUGACACUGGCAGGAAAUAAUUGCCAAGGCCUACAUACCAGACUCGAUUAUCCACACUUCAGAAUUUCUUCCGUUCUGUGGGAGACUUCCUUCUUUUCCAGUAGAAAAAGGUUGUGGAUUAGUCGCAUUCAAAAACCGCAUCCAGCUGACGAUGUCAUUAUAUAUCCAUACUGCAUAUAAACGAAUGUCAGGAAUAGUUUUUUUUCACUCUUUCUUUGACGUUUGUCUAAUUACUCUUUAAACGUUUUCUUGACAAUAAUUUUUUUUUCUCAUAAUCAAAAACCAGUUUCGCAGAAUCCG
rnacentral:lncRNA from 1 species